GGAUGAACGCUGGCGGCGCGCCUAACACAUGCAAGUCGAACGGUAGUUAUCUUAUUAGAUCCCUUCGGGGUGAAGAUUUUCUUGCUUAGUGGCGAACGGGUGAGUAACGCGUGAGGAACCUGCCUUUCAGUGGGGGACAACAGUUGGAAACGACUGCUAAUACCGCAUAACAUGAUCGGACCGCAUGAUCUGAUCACCAAAGCUUUAUGUGCUGAAAGAUGGCCUCGCGUCUGAUUAGCUAGUUGGUGGGGGUUAAACGGGCCCACCAAGGCGACGAUCAGUAGCCGGUCUGAGAGGAUGAACGGCCACAUUGGGACUGAGAUACGGCCCAGACUCCUACGGGAGGCAGCAGUGGGGAAUAUUGGGCAAUGGGGGAAACCCUGACCCAGCAACGCCGCGUGAAGGAAGAAGGCCUUCGGGUUGUAAACUUCUUUUACCAGGGACGAAGGACGUGACGGUACCUGGAGAAAAAGCAACGGCUAACUACGUG
rnacentral:rRNA from 1 species